GAUGAACGCUGGCGGCGUGCCUAAUACAUGCAAGUCGAGCGAACUGACGAGAAGCUUGCUGCUCUGAUGUUAGCGGCGUACGUGUGAGUAACACGUGGAUAACCUAUCUAUAAGACUGGGAUAACUUCGGGAAACCGUAGCUAAUACCUGAUAAUAUUUUGAACCGCAUGGUUCAAAAGUGAAAGACGGUCUUGCUGUCACUUAUAGAUGUAUCCGCGCUGCAUUAGCUAGUUGGUAAGGUAACGGCUUACCAAGGCAACGAUGCAUAGCCGACCUGAGAGGGUGAUGGGACACACUAGAACGGAGACACGGUACAGACUACUAUGGGAGGCGGCAGUGGAGAAUCUUCCGCAAGGGGAGAAAGCCUGACGGAGAACAGCCGCGUGAGUGAUGAAGGUAUUGGGAUCGGAAAACUAUGUUAUUAGGGAAGAACAUAUGUGUAAGUAACUGUGCACAACUUGACGGUACCUAAUCAGAAAGCCACGGCUAACUACGUG
rnacentral:rRNA from 1 species